rnacentral:lncRNA from 1 species
AUGAGGUGCUUCUUUUUUAUUGCUAAUAACGGUGCUUUUUAUAUUAAAAUAAAACAAGGAACGCGCUGUUUGACGAAAGAUGGAGACAUUAUCAAAAAUUCAAGAGGUCUUUGUCCACGACCUAGCUGGUUUGUCAUUCAAUCGAUGACAUUCUUACUCAUUGCAACAGUCCUGACUUUACAUGAGGCUCAAGGAUUUCUAAAUCUCGCGGAAUCUACGGAGGAGAAAGACAUUUUGAUUCAGCUGGGACGCCUGCACUCAAGCCGCUCUGUGGCCCAGCAUACGAGGUAAUUUGCUUUGAUGAACAUACAAAAUAAGUAAACGGAACUGUCUAGAUCCUUAGUCUUAACAAUGUGGCGGCUUUCAUAAUCUAGUAACACUUGACACCAGUAAGGAAGUGCAGGGCAAGGUAGAAACAAGGCCAAGCGAUUCAUGGUUCAUGCAACAACAAUUUUAAAUAUACCAACUCGUAAACAAGAGGAUAAGGUGGACAUUCCACACUCAUCAAAGGGAGAAAGAUGACAUCAUUCGUGUAUGAAAAUCUAUUGAGUGUUGAUAGAGAUUUUUUAUAAAUCGCACUCAUAAUUUGAAAUGUGGAAUUAUGAAGUGGAAUCACAAACGUACUGCUUCGCACUCUGACUGUUUGCUUGCUACUGAAUCA